AUGGACAAAGCUCCGGCGGCAGCAGCAGCCAACAAGGUUGGCAAUCCUCCGGCGGCAGCAGCAGCCAACAACCUUGCCAAUCCUCCGGCGGUUGCGGUGGUGGUGAAUGUGGUCGUCAAUCCACCAGCGAAUGUGGUCGUCAAUCCACCAGCAGAGGCGGCGCCGCCAGCGUGUGGAGCUGCGGACGUUCUGCUGCUGAUAUGUUUGCUCGGCAUUUUGGCGUUGGUAUCGACAGACGGGCUGUGGCCGGGGUACACGGUGGUGAUUCCCAAUUCUCGUGCGGUCAAUUUCAUUUCAUCGGAAACACAUGAAGGCCUUACUCUCGUGGGAGCGGCGGCCUUAUGCUGGGCACUGUGGCUUACCAGGAAUGAUGUGAUCUUCAAUAACAAAUGUGUCUCAUCUCCUAUGCAAGUUAUUCAUGUUUGUGCACGAUGGCUCCAUACUUGGUCUAUCCUGCAGAGGCCGGAGAACAGGGACCUUUUUAUAAUGGCGUCUACACGGCUGGAGCGUUCGGCCAGGGAGGUUUUCUACCCCCAUGGAUGGCGGCCUUACUCUCACUCAAGCAACGCAGCGCUGUGGAAGAGUAUCGGCAGCAGAUUUCAGUCCACAACCCAUAGUACGACGAGCAAUUCUUUGUAUCCCAAUUUAUCCGUGGCCUGUCUAUUGCCACAAGUUCAGCAGGAGGUAACUGAAGAUCUCAUACAGUGGGCUGGGCACCUCGUCCCUUCCUGCAGCAUGGCCGUACUGAACAUCUGGGACACAAACCAGAGGUACCCGAACACUUUGGUAGCUCGGGGAUUUUGGGCGUACCGAUACACUUUGUUUUCGCUCCGGGGAACAGGCUUUGAGCCGCCGUUGGAGCUCCGUGGGGCAAGGCCCAGGCGGGGGACGACGGCGGCAACACAUGAUGACUUUGAUUUCUUGGUGCUUCUCGAGUACCCAGUCUCGAGCUCCGGCGUGAAAAUCUUAGGUGAAACCAAGGAUCUAACCAUUGGUGGUUGGAUCCGGUCUUGGGCUCAUGAUAAAAGAGGUAUUUUCAGUGCCCGCUCAGCCUACCGAAUGAUGGUUCAGACCAAGUACAAUCAAGAAGAGGGUGGCUAUUUCAUAAAUCUGGGUCAUCGACAACUGCUGCUGAAGGAGGGGAUUUGGUGUAAGCUUUGGAGUACUCUUGUCCCGUCGAAUAUAAAGUAUGGCUCCCUCCCUAUGAUGCUCUUCGUUGCGAAGAGAAGACUUCUGGCGUCAUGCUCUUCUAGACUGUUCCAUGUCUAUAAGUGUAUGGGCAUUGCUCCGGUUUCACAUGCGAUGCCUCAUGUGAACGUCCAAACUCCACACGCGGUUUCCACUGUCCAUCUGGAGUUUUUCCCGGAACGGGAGCCUCGGGGCUGUCCUACUGGAGCCUUUGCUACACCUGAAAUGAUAAACAAAUUAUUGUCGAUCUACUCCAUCGGUUGGCCGCUGGCCACUACUACUACUGCUUGCUCGGUUCAUUCCAUCGUUGGUUACAGAAAACCCUCCGCUCCACAGCGCAUACUCUGCUCCAUCUCUUACCGCUCUCUCCGCAAGCGUGCUCGGACACCAUGGACGCUCCUCCGGCAGCCGCAGCGGCCAACAACGUGGCCAAUCCACCGGCAGUGGCGGCGGCCAAUCCUCCGGCGCCGGGAGCAGCGCGAAUGCCAAUGCCUGGAAGAAGAAGAAGAAGGACAACAAGUGUUGCAUGAUGUUUCUGGUCGUUGGGAAGACCUUCCUGGCUCUGCUGAUGGUAGCUCUUGCAGUGAACAACGUGGCCAAUUCUCCGGCGCCGGCAGCAGCGGUAAUGUGCUUGACAAUCUAGAAGACCAGAAUCUGAUCUUCUCAAGACGUUGCGCUGCUGAUACUUUGGCUCCUCUCUUUGGCGAUGAGCGUUGUUAUGCUCGUGCUGCUGUGCAUCGAAAAGUAGAGAAUCUAUAUCACGUCUGGAGUAGAUUGCAGGAGUGCGCCACCCGAUCGAUGAGGACGACGCAACGCAGCGAUGUGGAAGAGUAUCAGCAGCAGUUCGAGGAGCUUUUGAAUCAGGUUCCGGCAGAGCUUGUCCAUAAUGCCUUGUCCGGAACCGAAUCUCCAGACAACCAAGUCCUGAUGAUUCUUGUCAGACCCCGGAAGCAGCUACAGCUUCCUCAAUGCAGCCACGUUACACGAGAGCUCCUAUGUACCCCAUACGUCUAA
rnacentral:rRNA from 1 species